rnacentral:rRNA from 1 species
AGCGAACGCUGGCGGCAGGCCUAACACAUGCAAGUCGAACGAGGUCUUCGGACCUAGUGGCGGACGGGUGAGUAACACGUGGGAACGUGCCCUUUGGUACGGAAUAACUCAGGGAAACUUGAGCUAAUACCGUAUGUGCCCUUCGGGGGAAAGAUUUAUCGCCAUUGGAGCGGCCCGCGUCUGAUUAGCUAGUUGGUGAGGUAAAGGCUCACCAAGGCGACGAUCAGUAGCUGGUCUGAGAGGAUGACCAGCCACAUUGGGACUGAGACACGGCCCAGACUCCUACGGGAGGCAGCAGUGGGGAAUCUUGCGCAAUGGGCGAAAGCCUGACGCAGCCAUGCCGCGUGGAUGAUGAAGGUCUUAGGAUUGUAAAAUCCUUUCACCGGUGAAGAUAAUGACUGUAGCCGGAGAAGAAGCCCCGGCUAACUUCGUGCCAGCCGCCGCUGUAAAAC